ensembl:lncRNA
CUUGUUCUAAUCUAUGACGUCCCCUGAGGUUGCACAGCAGAGACGAAGCUGUCUAAUGGGAAACUCAGCUGGAUGCUGAUUGAGCCAGGAAUCUCCAAAUACCUUGCACCACCUGCACAAUUUGAUUGAGAUCCUAGGAGCAAGCAUCUUCUUUCCUGAGCUGGAAACAAUCUCGUUGAGCUCCUCCAAAAAUCAAGCCUGGCAUUUCCCUGCUCUUGUAAGCACUUCACUGCCUGAUAGGAGUGAUGGAUGGAUAGUGAGUGCUUCACUCUUCACCCUCUUGACUCUCAUUACCAGCUGGUAAGUACGCACUUGUUAAACUAGCUGAUGGAGGUCGCUCACAACUAUAG